ACUCCAGGUACUCACUCAAGGUACUCACUCACAGGCUGAAGAACAACCAGUCAAAGGUACUCGCUGUACUGCAGGUACUCACUCAAGGUACUCACUCAAGGUACUCACUCCAGGUACUCACUCACAGGCUGAAGAACAACCAGUCAAAGGUACUCGCUGUACUGCAGGUACUCACUCCAGGUACUCACUCGAGGUAUUCGCUGUACUCCAGGUACUCACUCAAGGUACUCACUCACAGACUGAAGAACAACCAGUCAAAGGUACUCACUCAAGGUACUCACUCAAGGUACUCACUCAAGGUACUCACUCACAGGUUGAAGAACAACCAGUCAAAGGUACUCGCUGUACUGCAGGUACUCACUCAAGGUACUCACUCAAGGUACUCACUCACAGGCUGAAGAACAACCAGUCAAAGGUACUCGCUGUACUGCAGGUACUCACUCGAGGUACUCACUCAAGGUACUCACUUAAGGUACUCACUCAAGGUACUCACUCCAAGUACUCACUCAAGGUACUCACUCACAGGCUGAAGAACAACCAGUCAAAGGUACUCGCUGUACUGCAGGUACUCACUCCAGGUACUCACUCAAGGUACUCACUCAAGGUACUCACUCACAGGC